UAGUUUGAUCCUGGCUCAGAACGAACGCUGGCGGCAUGCCUAACACAUGCAAGUCGAACGAAGCCUUCGGGCUUAGUGGCGCACGGGUGCGUAACGCGUGGGAACCUACCAUCAGGUUCGGGAUAACAGUUGGAAACGACUGCUAAUACCGGAUAAUGUCUUCGGACCAAAGAUUUAUCGCCUUUUGAUGGGCCCGCGUAAGAUUAGCUAGUUGGUGAGGUAAAAGCUCACCAAGGCGACGAUCUUUAGCUGGUCUGAGAGGAUGAUCAGCCACACUGGGACUGAGACACGGCCCAGACUCCUACGGGAGGCAGCAGUGGGGAAUAUUGGACAAUGGGCGAAAGCCUGAUCCAGCAAUGCCGCGUGAGUGAUGAAGGCCUUAGGGUUGUAAAGCUCUUUUACUGGGGAUGAUAAUGACAGUACCCAGAGAAUAAGCUCCGGCUAACUCCGUGCCAGCAGCCGCGGUAAUACGGAGGGAGCUAGCGUUGUUCGGAAUUACUGGGCGUAAAGCGCGCGUAGGCGGUACAAUUAGUCAGAGGUGAAAUCCCGGGGCUUAACCCCGGAACUGCCUUUGAAACUGUUGAACUAGAAUCCUGGAGAGGUGAGUGGAAUUCCGAGUGUAGAGGUGAAAUUCGUAGAUAUUCGGAAGAACACCAGUGGCGAAGGCGACUCACUGGACAGGUAUUGACGCUGAGGUGCGAAAGCGUGGGGAGCAAACAGAUUAGAUACCCUGGUAGUCCACGCCGUAAACGAUGAUAACUAGCUGUUCGGGCUCUU
rnacentral:rRNA from 1 species